AGUGAACGCUGGCGGUAGGCCUAACACAUGCAAGUCGAACGGCAGCACAGUAAGAGCUUGCUCUUACGGGUGGCGAGUGGCGGACGGGUGAGGAAUACAUCGGAAUCUACUUUUUCGUGGGGGAUAACGUAGGGAAACUUACGCUAAUACCGCAUACGACCUACGGGUGAAAGCAGGGGAUCUUCGGACCUUGCGCGAUUGAAUGAGCCGAUGUCGGAUUAGCUAGUUGGCGGGGUAAAGGCCCACCAAGGCGACGAUCCGUAGCUGGUCUGAGAGGAUGAUCAGCCACACUGGAACUGAGACACGGUCCAGACUCCUAAGGGAGGCAGCAGUGGGGAAUAUUGGACAAUGGGCGCAAGCCUGAUCCAGCCAUACCGCGUGGGUGAAGGAGGCCUUCGGGUUGUAAAGCCCUUUUGUUGGGAAAGAAAAGCAGCAGGUUAAUACCCCGCUGUUCUGACGGUACCCAAAGAAUAAGCACCGGCUAACUUCGUG
rnacentral:rRNA from 1 species